rnacentral:tRNA from 1 species
GGUUCUACGGUGUAAUGGACAGCACUCUGAGCUUUGAAUACAGCGAUUCGAGUUCAAGUCUCGGUAUAAUCU